rnacentral:rRNA from 1 species
UACGUAGGGGGCAAGCGUUGUCCGGAAUCAUUGGGCGUAAAGCGUGCGUAGGCGGCUGCGCAAGUCGGUUGUGAAACCCCGGGGCUCAACCCCGGAACUGCAUCCGAUACUGCGUGGCUAGAGGUAGGUAGGGGAGAUCGGAAUUCCUGGUGUAGCGGUGAAAUGCGCAGAUAUCAGGAGGAACACCGGUGGCGAAGGCGCUGCUCUGGGCCGAAACUGACGCUGAGGAGCGAAAGCGUGGGUAGCAAACAGG